CAGUAGCCACGGUAAGACGAACCGUGCGAACGUUAUUCGGAAUCACUGGGCUUAAAGCGCGUGUAGGCGGGAGGGCACGUCCGUCGCUGAAAUCCCCCGGCUCAACCGGGGAACGGGCGCGGAUACGACUCUUCUGGAGGAACGUAGGGGGACCUGGAACUUCCGGUGGAGCGGUGAAAUGCGUUGAGAUCGGAAGGAACGCCCGUGGCGAAAGCGAGGUCCUGGACGUUUACUGACGCUGAGACGCGAAAGCCAGGGGAGCGAACGGGAUUAGAUACCCGAGUAGUCCCUGUCUCUUAUU
rnacentral:rRNA from 1 species